rnacentral:misc_RNA from 1 species
AAGUCGUAACAAGGUAACCGUAGGUGAACCUGCGGUUGGAUCAUUAACAAUUAUUAUUGAAUUCUCCCCCCCCCACACCCCUUCACCGGGAGGGGGGGCGGUAGGUUCUCUAACACUUGUGUGCACUGUUUAUUGUCUCUCGGCGUUCGAGGGUUGGGGGUUGUCCCCAAGGAGCUAGCUUCCUUGGCCUCCCCCUUGGGCUUUUUUUUACAAGCCUUGACCUACCCCUGAGCGUCAACUUAAACUUGAUUUUAUUUAUACUAUAAGCCUUUAAUUUUAAAUUUAUAAUUUGAAAACAACUUUUAACAACGGAUCUCUAGGCUCUCA